rnacentral:misc_RNA from 1 species
ACGCCAGUGUCCCUGGCCGCCUACACCCACUAUACAUCCACAAACCCGUGUGCACUGUCUUGGAGAAAGGCUUCAGAGAAGUUUUUUGUGGCCUCUCUUGGGGUCUUUCUUCGCUACAAACUCGAAUGGUUAGUAUGAACGUGGAACUUGGUUGGACCGUCACUGGCCAACAAACUAUACACAACUUUCAACAACGGAUCCAAAGGGUCUCAUACUUGCCCAGGCCUCCACGACAGAUCAAUC